UCUGUGUUCAAUUUUCACUGC
rnacentral:piRNA from 1 species